AACGAACGUUAGCGGCGCGCUUAACACAUGCAAGUCGCACGAGAAAGGGAGCAAUCCCCGGUACAGUGGCGCACGGGUGAGUAACACGUAGGUAAUCUGCCUCUGAGUGGUGGAUAACCUCCCGAAAGGGGGGCUAAUACAGCAUAAGACCACGGUUUCGAGAGAAACUGAGGUCAAAGCCGGCCUCUUCAUGAAAGCUGGUGCUCGGAGAUGAGCCUGCGGCCCAUCAUCGGUAGUUGGCGGGGUAAUGGCCCACCAAGCCUAAGACGGGUAGCUGGUCUGAGAGGAUGAUCAGCCACACUGGAACUGAGACACGGUCCAGACUCCUACGGGAGGCAGCAGUGGGGAAUCUUGCGCAAUGGGCGAAAGCCUGACGCAGCGACGCCGCGUGGGUGAUGAAGGCCUCGGGUUGUAAAGCUCUUGGUGGAGACGAAUAAGUCGUGGCUAACAUCCACGAUGAUGACGGUAUCCACAUAACAAG
rnacentral:rRNA from 1 species